GAUGAACGCUAGCGGCAGGCCUAAUACAUGCAAGUCGAACGGGUGGUCGCAAGACCACUAGUGGCGCACGGGUGCGUAACGCGUAACCAACCUGCCCCGAUCUGGGGGAUAGCCCGCCGAAAGGCGGAUUAAUACCUCAUAUACCCGCAGCCUGGCAUCAGGCAACGGGGAAAGAUUUAUUGGAUCGGGAUGGGGUUGCGUGACAUUAGCUAGUUGGCGUGGUAAGGGCCCACCAAGGCGACGAUGUCUAGGGGAACUGAGAGGGUGAUCCCCCACACUGGCACUGAGAUCAGGGUCAGACUGCAACGGGCGGCAGCAGUAGGGAAUAUUGGGGAAUGGGCGAGAGCCUGACCUAGCCCUGCCGCGUGGAGGAUGAACGCCUUCUGGGUUGUAAACGGCCUUUAUCAGGGCCGAAAAAGAAAUUGCGAGGUACACUGACGGUACCUGAGGAAUAAGCACCGGCUAACUACGUG
rnacentral:rRNA from 1 species